UACGAAGGGUGCAAGCGUUAAUCGGAAUUACUGGGCGUAAAGCGCGCGUAGGUGGUUCAGCAAGUUGGAUGUGAAAUCCCCGGGCUCAACCUGGGAACUGCAUCCAAAACUACUGAGCUAGAGUACGGUAGAGGGUGGUGGAAUUUCCUGUGUAGCGGUGAAAUGCGUAGAUAUAGGAAGGAACACCAGUGGCGAAGGCGACCACCUGGACUGAUACUGACACUGAGGUGCGAAAGCGUGGGGAGCAA
rnacentral:rRNA from 1 species